GCCCCCCAAUUGGAUUUCGGCUUUUGCUCCUCUCGAGCUGUGGUUCUUCAUUCCAUAGAUGUGGCAUGGCUGAUAUCACCGCAGUUAUGUUCAUUCGGCUGCAAAAUUCGCGCCAGAUAACCUUGCAUUUCGAUUACGAGCGCCAGACUCGCCCCUGAAGCUCCCCGGGGCUCCGUGUUGAUAACGCGAGUUUGAGCCAAAUGACCCAAUGAGCCAAAUAGCCCAAAAUGCGUCUUCAGACCUGUUAGUGAGCUGUUAGGUAUAUAUCGGAUAUGCUCGGUCGAUCGUCCUUGCGGUUUCAAUUGAAGUCAUCUGUUGACGAGCUGCGAGAGUCGGAGCUGUCGGCUUCGCAGUACCGUGCAUGUUUUAAUUUAAAGGUGACUAUGGAAUCUGUACACCACAUGGCAGUGACAUAUGAGGACUUGCUCCAUGGUGUGGUAGCGAGGUAGUGAGGUGUGAGAAUUGGCUCCUGUCAGAGCAUUGUCCACCAGCUGUGCUUCAUCCCCAUCUAUCAUCUAUUCUGUCAUCUGCCGCCGGUGAACCAGCAGAGGCGUGCUCCAGCAGCUGUUGGCGAGGAGCGAGGAGGAUCCAGUCGGCGCGGCUGGUGCGUCACGAGACGCUCGCUAUGGCCGGGGAUGAGCUGAGUCGCCCGGCCCAGCCGCC